GCCAGGAGGAAAAGUAUGCCCAAAGUUUGGGAUUUUUCUCCUUUCCCCUUUUAAAUCUUUCUCUCUCUCUCUUCCUUUCCAACUCAGUGCCCUUGGUGGACAGCACCUAAGCAUGGAGACUUCAUGCAAGUUUCUGCCCAGGGUCACUCUCUAGUGAAACUGAAAGGUUUCCACGUGGAAGCGCCUAACCGCCACCGCCCAGUUCAGGUGAGGGACCCGAGUCCUUUUUCUUAUUUUCAUUUUUCUGAGUCCCAUUUCUUUUUCCCUUUUUCUGAGUUUUUUGUUUGUUUAUUUUGUUUUGUUUUGUUUCCUUUUCUCCUUUUUCAGUCUUUCACCUAGUAGCUCCUGGUAAUUGAGGGAAACUGACAAGGGCCACUCUCUGGCAUUCUCUGAAGGCCAAGAAGCAAACAGGGAUGGCUGCCCUGCCUGGAAGGGGAAAAGACUCUUUCCUAUCAUUUCUGGUUAUACUCCCAGAACUCUACCUGUGACACAGUUGGAUGUGGCAGCUCAUCCAGGGCGAAUUCACACACGUUUCAGAGACCAUCAAGUUUCAGAAAAUCAUGCAACAAGGUUUCCAGCCAGCUCCAGGUGAAGGCACCACCCCCCCACCAUCAAGAAGCACCCUGUCUCCACUAGACAGUGGGCUGAGAGUUCCGGGAUCUCCAACAGUUACAUAAAGACCAAAUGAUAUCUUCUUCCAAAAAGAAUGAGAAGCUGAUAGCUACUGAUGGAACAGAAGACUCAAGAAGAAAGUUCAAGUGGAAGACACUAAUUAAAGGAGGAUCCAGUUUCACUUGCACUUAGAUGUAGAAAGCCACAAAAUAAUGUGGCUUUCACAUAAACAGGAACAAAGCUGGACAAUCAAUAAAAUCAUGAUUUGCCUUGAGCUCAGCAGCGAGCUAAGGUAGCAAGGCAAACAAGUGCACUAAAUUUCAGAUGACAGGCCACUCUGAGGAGAGAUCAGGUGCACAAACGGCUUUACCUUUGGCAAGGCACAGCAUGAAAACGCAACCACCUUAUGGGCAGGUAAAAAGAAAACAUCGAAUUUUAACAAAUCCUUAAAGGCCACGGGUGGGUGAGAGCAAUGGUUUAGACUCCUGGUUCCUCCCAACACUAGAAAGUCAGCACUGCCUCACAUGCUCUUUGUACCCCACUCUCAGUAGUCCACAGACACACAAAGCCCCAUCUGCUCAUGUUUCUUGAAGAGAGACCAUUCUUGAAAUGGGAACCAAGGGCUUUGGGUCCCUGGGUGAGGGACCCAAAUAAGUCCUCUUGCCUCCAGAGCUCAGGCAAGAAUUCCUUGCCUCUGGUCAUAGAUAGAAUCCAGUGUCACUGGGACGGUGUGGAGAACCCUUCCUUCCUCCCUCAUUCCCAGGCAAAGAUAAACUCUGAAGAGAUUUCUCAGAAACCUCCGUAUUUCCACGAUGAACCUUGCACAGAGUAACAAGUGUUAGCAACCUACCACUGGGGUUGGGGUGGGGAGAAACAGGGCAAUUCACAUGUCCUUGAUCUCCAGUAAAUGUACAACGCUGCUGAGGGAAGAGUAGAGCAAUAGCUAGCUGACACUAGGGAAGGGGCAGGAAACCCCCUAGGGUCCAGCCUUCUGUACUGACAGAAAACAGAGGUUAGCUACCACUGGAGGAGGAGGAUGAAACUCUCUCCUGCCCCAAGUGCUUCAUAGAUAGUAAGUAGGGUUUGGCUGCCACAUGGGUAUGGGAAUGUUGAAAAAAAACCACUUCUGAGACCCAGGUACCCAGGAUCUAGCCAAAUGAGGCUGGACCAAGACAACUAAGAGUCCCCAUCCACUCCCAUCUUUAACCUUCCACCAAAUAACCAACAAUAGCAGUAUACAUUAUAAGAAAGAUAAGAGCAUAGAGAGACCCUUUAGUGGUUCAAGCAGGCAGCACUUCUUAAAUCUGAGAAAACAUGGAGAAAAAUCCUCUAGCACCUUAGGAUUCACAAUCAGUACAUUGUAGCAGUAGUCUACCAUUGGAGGAGUUUUGAUAUGGUUUGGCCGUGUCUCCACCCAAAUCUCAUCUUGAAUUGUAGCUCCCAUAAUUCCCACAUGUUAUGGGAGUGACCCAGUGGGAGACAAUUGAGUCAUGGGGGCAGUUUCUGCCAAACUGUUCUCAUGAUAGUGAAUAAGUCUCACAAGAUCUGAUGGUUUUAUAAGGGGAAACUUCUUUCACUUGGUUCUCAUUCUGUCUUGUCUGCUGCCGUGUAAGAGGUACCUUUCACCUUCUGCCAUGAUUGUGAGGCCUCCUCAGCCACGUGGAACUGUGAGUUCAUUAAACCUCUUUUUCUUUAUAAAUUACCCAGUUUCAGGUAUGUCUUCAUCAACAGCAUGAAAACAGACUAACACAGAUUUAAAUACUGUUAUACAUUAAUGGUAGUUAUAGCAACAAGAACAAAAAUCAUCUUAAAUAAAAACCAGAUUGGCUCAGUGCUCCCACACUAAAAAAACUAAGAAGAGACAUUAUAGUUGGGGAUUUCAGUAGUCCUCUAAAAGUGGGUAUAAAUCCUACUGGCCUCAGGCUAUACUGUUUUAUACAA